CUGUGGCUCAAGGAGGAGCCGCUGCUGACGCUGCUCUUCCCUGUGAGGCCUCGGACAAAAUGGCCCUGCAAGUGUGGCUGCCUCUGAGCACGACGGCCCUUCCCGGGGACCAACUCCAAAGGGACAGCCCUGCCCCGGGAGCCUAUUUAAUACCGAAUGUGCCGCAUAUUCCACAAUAAUACAGUUCCAUCGCCGCUUGUAAAAAGCAGAAAUGUCUUCAACGGAUAGAUAGGGUGGACGCUUGUCCGCGAAUAUUACAGGAUAGCAUUUGAGAUCCCAGACUUGAAACUGAAGAAGCUGGCUACUUGGAAGUGUCUAUGGUGCAGACCAAGAAAGACCCAAGAAAAUAUUCCUCUCUUUAGCUGAAGGACCAGUAAAGGGGCAGUAUAGCAGACAGAAAACAUUUAGACAAUAAAUGCUCUACUCCAGACAAAAACUAAGAAAAAAAUAUGACUCCUGUCCCCUAAUUCAUGCUAGCAAAGGUCUGGUGGAGAGCCUAGACUUUCACCUCAACUUCCCCUCACCUCUUCUGGUGUCAGAGAAAGUUAAGUAGGGAGUUAGGACACUCAUCCCACUAACCACUAAUGGGAAGCCUCCUAUCUUGGGUGUCAGUGGAGGCCAAAUAGGGAACUUGGACUUCUUCCCCAACCUGCCAGUAAUGAGGUGGUGCCUGCUCUCCACCCCCACUUCCACUUGGAAUGCUGUGUCAGAAAAAGCCAGCUAAAAUAAAAGAUUUAAAUAAGA